rnacentral:rRNA from 1 species
UACGUAGGUCCCGAGCGUUGUCCGGAUUUAUUGGGCGUAAAGCGAGCGCAGGUGGUUUAUUAAGUCUGGUGUAAAAGGCAGUGGCUCAACCAAUGUAUGCAUUGGAAACUGGUAGACUUGAGUGCAGGAGAGGAGAGUGGAAUUCCAUGUGUAGCGGUGAAAUGCGUAGAUAUAUGGAGGAACACCGGUGGCGAAAGCGGCUCUCUGGCCUGUAACUGACACUGAGGCUCGAAAGCGUGGGGAGCAAACAGG